ensembl:misc_RNA 7SK 7SK RNA
AGCUGGGAGGUUAGAAGGAAGAUGGAGUCAAUUAGGUCAGAUUUGUUUCACUGUCAUAAUUUUCUCACUGCUAUGAUUUCUGCAAAGGCCGUUUCAGAAGAGGACAACCUUCCCAAAUAGGGGAGCACUGUUCUUUGGUCAAGGGUAUACGAGUAGCUGCGCUCCCCUGCUAGAACCUCCAAACAAGCUCUCAAGGUCCAUUUGUAGGAGAAUGUAGGAUAGUCAAACUUCCAAGACUCCAGACACAUCCAAAUGAGGUGUUGCAUGUGGCAGUGUGCCUUUCUUA